AUAGCUGAAUCCUUCGAAUACGCUCUUUACCGUCUGAGUAUCUGCAAAAGACGAGUUGGAUGUAGAUGGAUCUGAAGAAGAGUUGAUUGUAGAUGGAUGUGAAAAAGAGUUAUAUCAGUUUUUGAUGCUCUUAAUAGGAAGUAUACAGCUGAAGGCAUAAGAAAAAGAAGUAAAGACUUUGAUAUUUUAAAGAUUACUCUGAUUUGGCUUGAUAAUUGGGAAACUAACUUUAUUAAUAGUAAAAUUACUGCAAAUGAGUUUCUCACAAAGAGUACAUCUGAAGGAUUGCGGGUCAGUAUAAAAUCAACAAUUGAACUAUGUAACUACCUUUAAGAUGAAGUUAAAUUAAAAUAUGUUCUAACAAACAGAAUGAAUCAAGAUCGCAUUGAACAAUUUUUUGGUAUGGUUCGCCAGGCUACUGAUCCAAACGAACAUCAAACAGCACCUACGUUUUUAUAAGUGUAUAAACUUUUAUCAAUAUCAUCAAUACUAAAACCUCCAAAAACAGGAAACUGCCAGAUUCUUGAUUUAACAACAC